rnacentral:rRNA from 1 species
UACGUAGGGGGCAAGCGUUGUCCGGAUUUAUUGGGCGUAAAGAGCGUGUAGGCGGCCAUACAGGUCCGUUGCGAAAACUGGAGGCUUAACCUCCAGACGUCGAUGGAAACCGUAUGGCUAGAGUCCGGAAGAGGAGAGUGGAAUUCCUGGUGUAGCGGUGAAAUGCGCAGAUAUCAGGAGGAACACCGAUGGCGAAGGCAGGUCUCUGGGCCACUACUGACGCUGAGAAGCGAAAGCAUGGGGAGCGAACAGG